rnacentral:lncRNA from 1 species
GGAGCGAGCGGCGCUUUGGGGGAGGGGUCGCGUAGGCGCCUCACCUGACCCUGCAGCCGUGCGGUUGCUGCUCCGGGGCAGGUCUCCUUCCAGGCCAGGGGCCCGGAAUCAUGUACAUAAAGCAGGUGAUUAUCCAGGGUUUUCGAAGUUACAGAGAUCAAACAAUUGUAGAUCCCUUCAGUUCAAAACAUAAUGUGAUUGGUAAGUGUUCUUGGUUUACUCGGUCAUAUUUAUAGUCUAUACAGAUAAUGUAAAUUCUGUCCAUUUGUAU